ACACGGGACCAAACUACUUAUGUCACAAUAUAGCUACAACUUUUUGUUGAUAUAUAAUACAACAGGUUUAAAACUUAGUGAAGAAAAAAAAUAAUGACAGUCUCACAAUAAUCUGUGGAUCAAAAUGAAUAUCACAUUAGCAUGGGGCUUUUGCAAACCAAUUGGCAAAAAUAUCACAUGCAUCUCAUAUAAACAAGCAUCACAAGCAUAACCAUCACAUCAAAUAAUGAGA
rnacentral:misc_RNA from 1 species